rnacentral:rRNA from 1 species
GACGAACGCUGGCGGCGUGCCUAAUACAUGCAAGUCGAGCGAAGUUUUCCUGGUGCUUGCACUAGAAAAACUUAGCGGCGGACGGGUGAGUAACACGUAAAGAACCUGCCUCAUAGACUGGGACAACUAUUGGAAACGAUAGCUAAUACCGGAUAAUAGCAUUAACUGCAUGGUUGAUGUUUGAAAGUUGGUUUUGCUAACACUAUGAGAUGGCUUUGCGGUGCAUUAGCUAGUUGGUGGGGUAAAGGCCUACCAAGGCGACGAUGCAUAGCCGACCUGAGAGGGUGAUCGGCCACACUGGGACUGAGACACGGCCCAGACUCCUACGGGAGGCAGCAGUAGGGAAUCUUCCGCAAUGGGCGAAAGCCUGACGGAGCAACGCCGCGUGAGUGAAGAAGGAUUUCGGUUCGUAAAGCUCUGUUGUUAGGGAAGAAUGAUUGUGUAGUAACUAUACACAGUAGAGACGGUACCUAACCAGAAAGCCACGGCUAACUACGUGCCAGCAGCCGCGGUAAUACGUAGGUGGCAAGCGUUGUCCGGAAUUAUUGGGCGUAAAGCGCGCGCAGGUGGUUUAAUAAGUCUGAUGUGAAAGCCCACGGCUCAACCGUGGAGGGUCAUUGGAAACUGUUAAACUUGAGUGCAGGAGAGAAAAGUGGAAUUCCUAGUGUAGCGGUGAAAUGCGUAGAGAUUAGGAGGAACACCAGUGGCGAAGGCGGCUUUUUGGCCUGUAACUGACACUGAGGCGCGAAAGCGUGGGGAGCAAACAGG